rnacentral:rRNA from 1 species
UACGAAGGGGGCGAGCGUUGUUCGGAUUUACUGGGCGUAAAGGGCGCGCAGGCGGCUUUGUUUGUCAGGCGUGAAAGCCCCGGGCUUAACCUGGGAACUGCGUUUGAUACGGCAGGGCUAGAGUUCGGGAGAGGAGAGUGGAAUUCCCAGUGUAGAGGUGAAAUGCGUAGAUAUCAGGAGGAACACCUGUGGCGAAAGCGGCUCACUGGACCACAACUGACGCUGAUGCACGAAAGCUAGGGGAGCAAACAGG